rnacentral:rRNA from 1 species
UACGUAGGGUGCGAGCGUUGUCCGGAAUUAUUGGGCGUAAAGAGCUUGUAGGCGGUUUGUCGCGUCUGCUGUGAAAGUCCGGGGCUCAACUCCGGAUCUGCGGUGGGUACGGGCAGACUAGAGUGAUGUAGGGGAGACUGGAAUUCCUGGUGUAACGGUGAAAUGCGCAGAUAUCAGGAGGAACACCGAUGGCGAAGGCAGGUCUCUGGGCAUUAACUGACGCUGAGGAGCGAAAGCAUGGGGAGCGAACAGG